rnacentral:rRNA from 1 species
UACGAAGGGGGCUAGCGUUGCUCGGAAUCACUGGGCGUAAAGGGUGCGUAGGCGGGUCUUUAAGUCAGGGGUGAAAUCCUGGAGCUCAACUCCAGAACUGCCUUUGAUACUGAAGAUCUUGAGUUCGGGAGAGGUGAGUGGAACUGCGAGUGUAGAGGUGAAAUUCGUAGAUAUUCGCAAGAACACCAGUGGCGAGGGCGGCUCACUGGCCCGAUACUGACGCUGAGGCACGAAAGCGUGGGGAGCAAACAGG